UACAGAGGGUGCAAGCGUUGUUCGGAAUUAUUGGGCGUAAAGCGCGUGUAGGUGGCUUGGCAAGUCGGGUGUGAAAGCCCUCAGCUCAACUGAGGAAGUGCGCCCGAAACUGCUGGGCUUGAGUGCCGGAGAGGGUGGCGGAAUUCUCCAAGUAGAGGUGAAAUUCGUAGAUAUGGGGAGGAACACCGGUGGCGAAGGCGGCCACCUGGACGGUGACUGACGCUGAGACGCGAAAGCGUGGGGAGCAAACAGGA
rnacentral:rRNA from 1 species